AGCGAACGCUGGCGGCAGGCUUAACACAUGCAAGUCGAACGCUCGUGGCAACACGGGAGUGGCAGACGGGUGAGUAACGCGUGGGAACGUACCCUUUGGUUCGGGAUAACCCAGGGAAACUUGGGCUAAUACCGGAUAAGCCCCUUCGGGGGAAAGAUUGAUUUGCCGAAGGAUCGGCCCGCGUCCGAUUAGCUAGUUGGUGAGGUAAUGGCUCACCAAGGCGACGAUCGGUAGCUGGUCUGAGAGGAUGAUCAGCCACACUGGGACUGAGACACGGCCCAGACUCCUACGGGAGGCAGCAGUGGGGAAUAUUGGACAAUGGGGGGCAACCCUGAUCCAGCCAUGCCGCGUGAGUGAUGAAGGCCCUAGGGUUGUAAAGCUCUUU
rnacentral:rRNA from 1 species